GUGUGAAUUGCAGAAUCCCGUGAACCAUCGAGUCUUUGAACGCAAGUUGCGCCCGAAGCUUCGGCCGAGGGCACGCCUGCCUGGGUGUCACACGUCGCUCUGCCUCCAAAGCCUUUCCCCUCGUGGCGAUGGUUUGGAUGCGGAAGAUGGCCUCCCGUGACCACGAGCCACGGAUGGCCCAAGUUCUUGCUGGGGAAGCGAAGCACCACGGCUUUCGGUGGUCGGUACAGCCCGCGAGGGCAACGAAGCCCGUGGUAGCCGCGAAGGUCCCCGGUCUACGACCCCAAUCACUAACCAAUGCGACCUCAGGUCAGGCGGGGCUACCCGCUGAGUUUAAGCAUAUCAAUAAGCGGAGG
rnacentral:rRNA from 1 species